rnacentral:rRNA from 1 species
AUUGAACGCUGGCGGCAGGCCUAACACAUGCAAGUCGAACGGAAGAAGGGAGCUUUUUCCUGGUUCCCGCGGGGGACGCGGGAGUGUUGCCUAUGAAUCUGCCUCUCAUUGCUGGAUGAUGUCCGCAAACGGGCGCGGAUACCACAUCCGUGCAGAGGGUGAACGUGGGUGAUCUUCGGACCUCACCCUCUCAGGUGAGCCUAGGUCGGAUUAGCUAGUUGGUGGGGUAAAGGCCUACCAAGGCGACGAUCCGUAACUGGUCUGAGAGGAUGAUCAGUCACACUGGAACUGAGACACGGUCCAGACUCCUACGGGAGGCAGCAGUGGGGAAUAUUGGACAAUGGGCGAAAGCCUGAUGCAGCCAUGCCGCGUGUGUGAAGAAGGCCUUCGGGUUGUAAAGUACUUUCAGUGGGGAUGAAGGGAAGUAAGUUAAUACCUUGCUGUAUUGACGUUACCAGCAGAAGAAGCACCGGCUAACUACGUG